rnacentral:rRNA from 1 species
GACAGAGGGUGCAAACGUUUGUUCGGAAUUACUGGGCGUAAAGCGCGUGUAGGCUGCUUCGCAAGUCGGAUGUGAAAGCCCUGGGCUCAACCCAGGAAGUGCAUUCGAAACUGCAGAGCUGGAGUCCUGGAGAGGAAGGCGGAAUUCUCGGUGUAGAGGUGAAAUUCGUAGAUAUCGGGAGGAACACCGGUGGCGAAGGCGGCGACCUGGGUAGAUACUGACGCUGAGGUGCGAAAGCGUGGGGAGCAAACAGG